CCUACGGGAGGCAGCAGUGAGGAAUAUUGGUCAAUGGGCGUAAGCCUGAACCAGCCAAGUCGCGUGAGGGAUGAAGGUUCUAUGGAUCGUAAACCUCUUUUAUAAGGGAAUAAAGUGUGGGACGUGUCCUGUUUUGUAUGUACCUUAUGAAUAAGGAUCGGCUAACUCCGUGCCAGCAGCCGCGGUAAUACGGAGGAUCCGAGCGUUAUCCGGAUUUAUUGGGUUUAAGGGGUGCGUAGGCGGCCUUUUAAGUCAGCGGUGAAAGUCUGUGGCUCAACCAUAGAAUUGCCGUUGAAACUGGGAGGCUUGAGUAUGUUUGAGGCAGGCGGAAUGCGUGGUGUAGCGGUGAAAUGCUUAGAUAUCACGCAGAACCCCGAUUGCGAGGGCAGCCUGCCAAGCCAUGACUGACGCUGAUGCACGAAAGCGUGGGGAUCAAACAGGAUUAGAUACCCCAGUAGUC
rnacentral:rRNA from 1 species